CUGCCCCCGCGACCCGGCCCCGGAUAAGCGGAAGAAGAUGGAUGGAUGGAUGGAUCAGCUAUUCCCUACCAGAGCAUACUGUCGAUUCACACAGUACAUGGCUAAUAAACCAGACAAAUUUUGGAUAAUGUUCUGGAUUGCCACCGAGUUCAAACUUAAUAUAAGUUGAAAGAACUUCCCUAUCUGGGAAAAGACAAUAGCAGGCCGGCUGUGCAGCGUUUAUAAAUUCUACGCUGAAAAAAAGACAGCGUUGGCCUGAGAUGAAAUAUCUGCAGUAACCCUUGUUUCUUCAUGUUCCCACAAGUUUUUUUGCUUACUAUCUUUUGUUUCUUCGUUUAUCCUCAAGUUCGGAUGUUUUGUGCUUCUACGCAUAUCAACAGUUGAACAGGUGAUGACAUUUUCUGUAGUUUUGUUCUCGGAGGAGCAUGACUGUGUGGCAGUAGUUCCAUGCCUGUGGCUCAAAGGAGGACUUUGCCACUGGUCACCAAAGAGCAUCACCAGCAGAAAGUCCUUCAGCCACGACAAGUUUGCCAGAACUUGUUCACCACCUGAAGACACCUGGGAGGCUGUCCCUUAUAAGCUCAAUUUAAAUUACAAUUUGAAACUUGGAUUGAAAAUAUGUUUUGCAGGGUAAAUGCUUACAAAACCUUAACUUUUCUUAGACACGUGAGAGACCAGAGUGAAAAUCGUUCCAGCAUGGGCCCCUACCACACCAAGGACGCACAUCUACACCACAACACCCAACAUGUUGUGUGUUGAUCUCGUAAUUGCUGCAAUGUUUACUUGGUUUCACCAUAUUUACCUGUUCACCAACUUUUUAAUGUUUAUUUUUAGGAUGGAGCAAGCACAGUACUCCAAGGCACCAGAGAGGUACUCCACGCCACCAUGUAGAGGAUUGCUACAUAGAACAUUUGGAGAAGAUCAAGUGGCUGACUGAAGAGAAGGUCGAGCUGAGUGCACAGCUGUCUCUACAAUCAGCUUCUGAUAAACGUCUGACUGAAAAGAAUGUCAAGCCGAGGGCACAGCUGGCUCUACAAUCAGGAGCCAUAAGGAAGAAUCCUUCCAACCGGGAUGCCAUUAACGAUGCUGUCCAGAACCAGGUCCCCAGGAACCAGAAAGGGGCAGCUGACUGUGCAGGUGGGAGAUGUCGCGGCGGUACAAGGGACCAGCCGUGAAUAUGAAUGACAUCUCCAAUAAAACCUAAUAUUGGGGCAUGAGGCAUCCUGCUGGGAUGCAUAAAAGUGGCUAGUCACCGUCGGGCCGCUGGUGAGCCGCUGAUCAGAGUAAAGCUAGUGGGCCGCCAGUAGGCCACUGGCGUGUUGCUUGUUGGGUGCCACCUUGUAUGCAGGCACAGUCUGAAAGAUAUUCUACAAAAGUUCUAAAGGCUGGGGACACUACACUUAUGAUUUGUGCAAAAAGUGCAUUAAUUCAACUAUAUGCAGAAGGGGAUUAAUUCUUGAGUUGUCUAAGGAGCUGUGUGCAAAUCAAAUAAUGAGAAAGGCUGCCUGUCCAGAAGCGCAUAAGCGACUUUUGACGGACACUCCUUCCCCACCAAUGAAAAGGAGACAUUGUCCUGUUGGCAGGACAGGAAACAAAACUAAUGAUAUCUGCUAACCAUGUAAGGGACUUGUUUGUCGUAAAUGCACUCGAACAGCUAUUACAUUUUGCAUUGUAUGUGGGCAUUGACAAUGUAACAAGCAGACCACAUUUGUCUUUUAUUCAUGUCACACACACAUGGGACUUAGGAUAUUGUGGUUAUGCGAAAAGAGAAAUGAAGCCUAAAGUCUAUAAAUGUCUUCUACUCAUUGACACUGGACCGUGGUAUUUGGGGGUUGGGAUUGUAUACCAGUUUUACUUGAAACACACCAAAAGUGUGCAUUGAGUGUGGACCUGUGGCUUGGUAAUUAGUAGGAGAGUGGGGGUCAUGGCCAAUUGCUGGCAGGACAAUCAGAUUGUUUCUAUAAUUGCUCGAUCACUUCUUCACAUUGUCUGCAAAGACUAUUAGUUUGCUGAUAUAAAACUUGAAUCAUGCAAUUUUUCCAUUAUAUCUGAG
ensembl:lncRNA